GUGGGGAAUUUUGGACAAUGGGCGCAAGCCUGAUCCAGCAAUGCCGCGUGCAGGAAGAAGGCCUUCGGGUUGUAAACUGCUUUUGUACGGAACGAAAAGGCUCUGGUUAAUACCUGGGGCUCAUGACGGUACCGUAAGAAUAAGCACCGGCUAACUACGUGCCAGCAGCCGCGGUAAUACGUAGGGUGCAAGCGUUAAUCGGAAUUACUGGGCGUAAAGCGUGCGAAGGCGGUUUUGUAAGACAGGCGUGAAAUCCCCGGGCUCAACCUGGGAAUGGCGCUUGUGACUGCAAGGCUGGAGUGCGGCAGAGGGGGAUGGAAUUCCGCGUGUAGCAGUGAAAUGCGUAGAUAUGCGGAGGAACACCGAUGGCGAAGGCAAUCCCCUGGGCCUGCACUGACGCUCAUGCACGAAAGCGUGGGGAGCAAACAGGAUUAGAAACCCGGGUAGUCC
rnacentral:rRNA from 1 species